GACGAGGUGGCCGCGUGGUUAAGGCGAUGGCGAUGGACUGCUAAUCCAUUGUGCUCUGCACGCAUGGGUUCGAAUCCCAUCUUCGUCG